ensembl:lncRNA
AAAUAAAUCUUCCGGGGGCAGGAGGCGAGUUUUCAGGAGCCUAAUUCAAAUCAGCAGACUUCGCAUUUGUAAAGAGGGGCUUCCCUCAAAUCCUUGUGGUUGGGGGCGUUGGAGGGAUUGGGGGGGGAGGGGCCAAGGAGUCAAGAAUAGAGGUCUCUUUCUGGGAUGAUACUGUCAGCGGCUGGGCGGAGGACCCUGGGAGCCUCUCUGUCUCCGUCUCUCUUCGGCUGUGACUUUUUCUGGCUCUGUUCCGGUACAUCAGAACGGAACCAACCAUUUGGGGUCUGAAUCACUCUGUUAAACCGACUAGAGUCCUCUAGCCCAGACAGGAGACCCAGUAGAAACAAAAGGUUAUGGACCCCCCAAUUGGCAGGAAAAGCAGACGAGAAGGCUGAUGGAUUAAAUAAAACAUCCCAGGGUGUCACAGCUCCCUGAAGGUUCCGUCUUUAGGCCUCAGUUCCCUCCUGUGUAAAUGAAGGUGACAGCCUAGACGUACACUGGUGAUUCUCAAGCUUUAGAUGGCAUCGAUAUCACCGGAAAAAAAAAAAAAAUUAAAAACUGCUGGCCCUACCCCAAGAGUUUCUGACUUAGUAGGUCUCGGGGAGCACCAACAAUCUGCCUGUUUCACAAGUUCCUAGAUGUUACUGCUGUUAGCCUGAGAUCCAUACUUUGAGAACCUCUGGACUAGAUGAUAUGUAAACUUCCAUCUAGAUCUAACACACUCUUCCAUCUCCAGGCUCCUGUGUCUGCCCCAUCAAGCCCUGAGGAGUCUGGAGCCACAUAUGAGAGGGGCUGAUGUUUUUACACUCGAGCUUGUACCCCCUGUCAUCAGUGCAGAAUAAAUCUUUCACUGGCCAAUAGGGACUGAGGCCCCUGCCCACUGAAGGAUCCCAGUCCUCUCACUACACAUAUUCCAGUCUGAAUUAACCCCAGCUGGCUGGCUGUAGGGCCUGAAUCUCCAGCAGUGGCUAACACUGCUUUCCCUUUGUACCAAGCAGGGCUGGGCCUAAUCCUACUUAAAUGUCAAGCAGGCCUAUUGUGUACAGGGCUGCCGUCAGAAGGGCUGGCAAGAGCCCAGGGUACAUCUUCAGGCCCCUCGAUGUAGCCUAGUGUCUGCCAAACACUUGGUCCGCCACACACCCGCGCACACGCACACGCUCCGUCACACGCAGAGCUGGGUCGUCAGGAGAGCUAGUUUUACUUUGAUGUACCUCUCCGCUGCACAUUUGUUUCAGCUCCCCUCCUGGAGCCACAGCCUUAUUUAUCUUCUUGGCAUGGGUUCUUAGAAUACUUCCAUUCAGGCAGCAGCAAAAUCACUCAGCUCCACUGUUUUACGAAGUUUAUCAAACAGCAAAAUAUCCGGUCUCUUUGUCCAAUGGAUCUGGUGUGAAUGUGCCUACAGAACUGCCUUUCCCAGACGCCCUGGGGUCUGUGUGUGGUUAUAUAUAUCCUCCCCUGAGAGGACCCCACAAAAUUCAGGGCCUGCCUACUCAUGCUGCAAGGGGCCCCCCAAAGCAGCUGCAGGGCUCAGAGGCAUCUUCCUGAAUCAGGAGACCCAGCCACAUAUACUCCGCACAUGCAUGGGCUACACUCAUACUCCACCAGCAGAGCCUCAGAAGCCCACAGCAGACUAACAGCCCUGCGCCCCACCC